ensembl:snoRNA small nucleolar RNA SNORA17
CCUGCCCCUAAAGGCUUUGCAGGUACGGAUUCUGUGUCAUAUAUGUGACAGUAGAUGGCAGAGAGGAGAGAGGCUAUGUCUAUGCUCAGUGUUCUGACCUAUAAAUAUCUCACUGAUUAGUAGCCUAAGGUU